UACGUAGGCAGCAAGCGUUGUUCGGAGUUACUGGGCGUAAAGGGUGUGUAGGCGGUUUCGUAAGUCUGGUGUGAAAUCUCCCGGCUCAACUGGGAGGGUGCGCCGGAAACUGCGAGGCUAGAGUGUGGGAUGGGAGAGUGGAAUUCCUGGUGUAGCGGUGAAAUGCGUAGAUAUCAGGAGGAACACCUGCGGUGUAGACGGCUCUCUGGACCACUACUGACGCUGAAACACGAAAGCGUGGGGAGCAAACAGG
rnacentral:rRNA from 1 species